rnacentral:rRNA from 1 species
CAACAGGGAUUGCCUCAGUAACGGCGAGUGAAGCGGCAACAGCUCAAAUUUGAAAGCUGGCCCCCGCGGGGCCCGCGUUGUAAUUUGUAGAGGAUGCCUCGGGCGCGGCGCCGGUCUAGGUUCUUUGGAACAAGACGUCAUGGAGGGUGAGAAUCCCGUAUGUGACUGGUGGCCUGCGCCCAUGUGAGGCUCCUUCGACGAGUCGAGUUGUUUGGGAAUGCAGCUCAAAAUGGGAGGUGUAUUUCUUCUAAAGCUAAAUAUUGGCCGGAGACCGAUAGCGCACAAGUAGAGUGAUCGAAAGAUGAAAAGCACUUUGGAAAGAGGGUUAAACAGUACGUGAAAUUGUUGAAAGGGAAGCGCUUGCAAUCAGACUUGCGCGGCGCCGAUCAUCCCGGGCUCGCCCCGGGUGCACUCGGCGCCGCUCAGGCCAGCAUCAGUUUCGGCGGCGGGAUAAAGGCCCGGGGAACGUGGGUGGCUUCGGCCUCCGUUAUAGCCCCGGGUGCCAUGCCGCCCGCCGGGACUGAGGACCGCGCUUCGGCUAGGAUGCUGGCGUAAUGGUUGCAAGCGACCCGUCUUGAAACACGGACCAAGGAGUCGAACAACUGUGCGAGUGUUUGGGCGAUCAAACCCAUACGCGCAAUGAAAGUGAACGGAGGUGAGAGCCCUUCAGGGUGCAUCAUCGACCGGUCCUGAUGUCUUCGGAUGGAUCUGAGUAAGAGCAUAGCUGUUCGGACCCGAAAGAUGGUGAACUAUGCCUGAAUAGGGUGAAGCCAGGGGAAAUCCCUGGUGGAGGCUCGCAGCGGUUCUGACGUGCAAAUCGAUCGUCAAAUUUGGGUAUAGGGGCGAAAGACUAAUCGAACCAUC